CAAUAGCGUAUAUUAAAGUUGUUGCAGUUAAAAAGCUCGUAGUUGGAUUUCUAGAUAAGUGGGUACUUGUACUUUGCUUGUCUACCAGUCAUAGACUGUUACUGUGAGAAAAUUAGAGUGUUUCAAGCAGGCUGUUGCAGGAAUACAUUAGCAUGGAAUAACGAAUGUGUCUGGAAUAUUGGUUAAUUCUAGAUUACGAUUAAUAGGGACAGUUGGGGUAGUUCGUAUUCCACUUGUUCAGAGGUGGAAAUUACUUGGAUUUUGGUAAGACGAACUACUGCGAAAGACAUUUACCUAAGGAUGUUUUCUAUUAAUUCAAGAAACGAAAGUUAAGGGGAGUCGAAGACGAUUAGAUACCAU
rnacentral:rRNA from 1 species